rnacentral:rRNA from 1 species
UAAUACGAAGGGGGCUAGCGUUGCUCGGAAUGACUGGGCGUAAAGGGCGCGUAGGCGGAUGGGACAGUCAGAUGUGAAAUUCCCGGGCUCAACCUGGGGGCGGCAUUUGAGACGUUUUGUCUGGAGUGCGGAAGAGGGUCGUGGAAUUCCCAGUGUAGAGGUGAAAUUCGUAGAUAUUGGGAAGAACACCGGUGGCGAAGGCGGCGACCUGGUCCGUGACUGACGCUGAGGCGCGAAAGCGUGGGGAGCAAACAGGAUUAGAUACCCUGGUAGUCCACGCCGUAAACGAUGUGCGCUGGAUGUUGGGCGGCCUAGCCGUUCAGUGUCGCAGCUAACGCGAUAAGCGCACCGCCUGGGGAGUACGGCCGCAAGGUUG